UACGUAGGGGGCUAGCGUUGUCCGGAUUUAUUGGGCGUAAAGAGCGUGUAGGCGGCCAUGUAGGUCCGGUGUGAAAACUCGAGGCUUAACCUCGAGAUGUCGGCGGAAACCAUCUGGCUAGAGUCCGGAAGAGGAAAGUGGAAUUCCUGGUGUAGCGGUGAAAUGCGCAGAUAUCAGGAAGAACACCCGUGGCGAAGGCGGCUUUCUGGGACGGUACUGACGCUGAGACGCGAAAGCGUGGGGAGCGAACAGG
rnacentral:rRNA from 1 species